GCAGUGGGGAAUUUUGCACAAUGGGCGCAUGCGUGAGGCAGCCAUGCCGCGUGUAUGAAGAAGGCCUUCGUGUUGUAAAUUACUUUCAGCGGGGAGGCAGGCGAUAAGGUUAUUAACCUGGUCGAUGGACGUUACCCGCCGAAGAAGCACCGGCUAACUCCGUGCCAGCAGCCGCGUUAUUACGGAGGGUCCAAGCGUUUAUCGGAAUUACUGGGCGUAAAGCGCACCCAGGCGGUUUGUCAAUUCGGAUGUGAAAUCCCCGGGUUCAACCUGGGAGCUCCAUUGGAAACGGGCGGGCUAGAGUCUGGUGGAGGAAGGUGGAAUUCCAGGUGUACCGUUGAAAUGCGUAGAGAUCGGGAGGACUCCCGGUGGCGAGGGCGCCCUCCUGUACAAAGACUGCCGUUCAGGUGCGAAACCGUGGGGACCAACCAGGAUUAGAUACCCUGUUAGUCCACGCCGUAACCGAUGUCGAUUAGGAGGUUGUGCCCUUGAGGCGUGGCUGCCGGAGUUAACGCAGUUAAGUACGACCGCCCUGGGAUCCCCACCCUCCGUCUCCCACC
rnacentral:rRNA from 1 species